rnacentral:rRNA from 1 species
GACGAACGCUGGCGGCGUGCCUAAUACAUGCAAGUCGAACGCAGUUGCGAACGGGUGAGUAACGCGUAGGUAACUGCCUCAUAGCAGGGGUUAACUAUUGGAAACGAUAGCUAAUACCGCCUACUUCGGGAGGGACCGGCGUUGUAUUAGCUAGUGUGUGAGGUAAAGGCUCACCAAAGCGCCGAUACAGAGCAGCCCUGAGAGGGUGAUCGGCCACACUGGGACUGAGACACGGCCCAGACUCCUACGGGAGGCAGCAGUAGGGAAUCUUCGGCAAUGGACGAAAGUCUGACCGAGCAACGCCGCGUGAGUGAAGAAGGUUUUCGGAUCGUAAAGCUCUGUUGUUAGAGAAGCGGUAUCUAACCAGAAAGCACCGGCUAACUCCGUGCCAGCAGCCGCGGUAAUAC